UAGAUGUAUAGUAUACCCUAUAUAUGGGAGGACACCGCUGGUUAUAACAAUAUAUGGGUACGGGUCUCGAUGCGGAGAGUCGGUAUACGUUUAAAAUGUUAUCACUUAUUUAUACCCACACUUUAUAACGUUACAUAAGACGCAUACUUGUGUAUUCGUUAACGAUGGAUUUAAAGUGAAAAAAGAACGGACAUAUUUCGCACGUGGGUGGCCCACUGUUGUAGACGAGAAGUUGGGAUGGUAGAGGGGAAAUUCAAUGCAUAUCUGUACGCAGCGAUUAACUAUCGCAGUUAACGAAAAACCAUUCUGAGCGGAGUUCGGUUAAUAUAGUGUUGCUUUGUCAACAAUUUAUAAGAUAUGAUGUCACAUUAUGGUAAAAUAAUUAUA